UACGAAGGGGGCUAGCGUUGUUCGGAUUUACUGGGCGUAAAGCGCACGUAGGCGGUUUGGUCAGUUAGGGGUGAAAUCCUGGAGCUCAACUCCAGAACUGCCUUUAAUACUGCCAAUCUCGAGUCCGGAAGAGGUAAGUGGAACUCCUAGUGUAGAGGUGGAAUUCGUAGAUAUUAGGAAGAACACCAGUGGCGAAGGCGGCUUACUGGUCCGGUACUGACGCUGAGGUGCGAAAGCGUGGGGAGCAAACAGG
rnacentral:rRNA from 1 species